rnacentral:rRNA from 1 species
UACGGAGGGUGCAAGCGUUGUCCGGAAUCAUUGGGUGUAAAGGGUGCGCAGGCGGAAGUCUAAGUCGGAGGUGAAAUCUUGCCGCUUAACGGUAAAAGGGCCUUCGAAACUGGAUUUCUUGAGUUCGGAAGAGGUCGGUGGAAUUCGUGGUGUAGCGGUGAAAUGCAUAGAUAUCACGAAGAACACCAGUGGCGAAGGCGGCCGACUGGUCCGAUACUGACGCUGAGGCACGAGAGCGUGGGGAGCGAACAGG